rnacentral:rRNA from 1 species
GUGCCAGCAGCCGCGGUAAUUCCAGCUCCAAUAGCAUAUAUUAAAGUUGUUGCGGUUAAAACGCCCGUAGUUGGAUCAGCGGAUUUGGAGAACGGUCUGCCGAUGGGCUGUACUGUUCUCCUGUCCUAUUUUCUCUAGUUCGCUCUAGGUGCUCUUCACUGAGUGUCUAGAGUGGCUGGAACUUUUACUUUGAAAAAAUUAGAGUGCUCAAAGCAGGCGUCUCAGCCUGAAUAGUGGUGCAUGGAAUAAUGGAAUAGGACCUCAGUUCUAUUUUGUUGGUUUUCGGAGCAUGAGGUAAUGAUUAAGAGGGACAGACGGGGGCAUUCGUAUUGCGACGUUAGAGGUGAGAUUCUUGGAUCGUCGCAAGACGAACUACUGCGAAAGCAUUUGCCAAGAAUGUUUUCAUUAAUCAAGGACGAUAGUUAGAGGUUCGAAGGCGAUCAGAUACCGCCCUAGUUCUAACCGUAAACGAUGUCAACCAGCGAUCCGCAGGAGUUAUUCAUGACUCUGCGGGCAGCUUCCGGGAAACCAAAGUUUUUGGAUUCCGGGGGGAGUAUGGUUGCAAAGCUGAAACUUAAAGGAAUUGACGG